UACGUAGGGUGCGAGCGUUGUCCGGAAUUAUUGGGCGUAAAGGGCUCGUAGGCGGUCUGUCGCGUCGGUAGUGAAAACUCAGGGCUUAACCCUGAGCCUGCUUCCGAUACGGGCAGACUAGAGGUAUGCAGGGGAGAAUGGAAUUCCUGGUGUAGCGGUGAAAUGCGCAGAUAUCAGGAGGAACACCAGUGGCGAAGGCGGUCUCUGGGCCUGUACUGACGCUGAGGAGCGAAAGCGUGGGGAGCGAACAGG
rnacentral:rRNA from 1 species